rnacentral:lncRNA from 1 species
AAAAUUUUAAUGCAGAUGUUUUUCAGACCAGAGAUUUAUGGGGGAGGAAGCAGCAGGAUUUGUAAGGACUUGUGCCUCCUACUGUGAAAAGUGGGCUUCUGUUUGUGUCCAGCCCAAGGUCCAGAACUGAGGAGAGAAUAUAAUUUUCAAGCAUUUUGGCCUUCUGCCAGAGAGAAAAUGAAUGUCAGUGUCUGUACGCAGUGCCGGUCACUCACCUGAGGUUGGUGAGUUAAAGUUCUAAGAAAUAAGGUCUGCCCUUCGCUUCCCCUGGCUGGAGGUAGCACAGGUGAUGAGUAAAGUCCAGUAACAGCCAUCCCCAUCAACCUCCCUGGCCUGAGUCUGUCUUCCUCCUCGUCUGGGUUCCCCAUCAGUUCAUAUCUGACCUUGGUUUCUCUUCUCACUCCAUGUGUGACCUUUUUCUUUCAGAUCUGAUCUAGCAUCUCUUUCGUUCAAAGCUUGCUCCUCAGACCUACCGCAGGAGCCUCGCAGUGGUCUGCCCGCCAGCCCUCUGAAGGCAGGGUAGGCAGGUUUCUCAGUUUUAGGUGUGGAAAGUGAUUAAGAAACAUUAAAAUGAAAAUCAUUUUUGCAAAACUUGAGGCAUGAUUACAUUGCUCUUUUAUCAGAACUUUCCUAGGUAAUGGUGUCCUGAGAGCAGCCUGGCAUGGCUUAUCACUGAGCCAGUCUGAUGAAGCUUUUAGACCUGAGGUUUUAUGUUGCCGAAGUCAUACUGGAAGUAAUUCACGAUUUAAGACUGAGAAUCAGCUUUAUAGACCUCCAAAUAUGCAAAGCAGCUCUUGCUUUUAGAGCUACCAUCUUCAAGACUCCACCCUGCGUCCCCCUUCCCUACCACUACUGGCCAAACAUACCCGCAGAAAUGCAGGGAAACUGCCUAGGCGCGAGACUUGAGCUAGAGUGGAAACAGUGGAAAAUCAAACAUAUUGGCCCAUUAGAGUCUUGCUAAAAAUACGAAGAGCACAGCUAUUCUGAGGGACGAUGGCAUGGGAAAACUCUGCCUGGAAUCUUGGAUCCAGCAGAGCAGACAGGGUUUCCAGCAGACGUGGGAAGAGGAAUUAAACUCCAGCACAGAGGGGAAGAGGGCAUCAAACUUGGCAGAUGCCAGAACAUAAUUGAAAAAGGGCUGGGAGAUGCCAGGACAGUUACUUUUCUAUUUGCAACCAAUAAAGGUUCGAAACGGUGAGUAAUUAUGGGUAAG